CCUGAUGCAGCAACGCCGCGUGCGGGAUGACGGCCUUCGGGUUGUAAACCGCUUUUAGUAGGGAAGAAGGGCUUCGGCUUGACGGUACCUGCAGAAAAAGGACCGGCUAACUACGUGCCAGCAGCCGCGGUAAUACGUAGGGUCCGAGCGUUGUCCGGAAUUAUUGGGCGUAAAGAGCUCGUAGGCGGUUUGUCGCGUCUGCUGUGAAAUCUGGAGGCUCAACCUCCAGCCUGCAGUGGGUACGGGCAGACUAGAGUGCGGUAGGGGAGAAUGGAAUUCCUGGUGUAGCGGUGGAAUGCGCAGAUAUCAGGAGGAACACCGAUGGCGAAGGCAGUUCUCUGGGCCGUAACUGACGCUGAGGAGCGAAAGCGUGGGGAGCGAACAGGAUUAGAUACCCUGGUAGUCCACGCCGUAAACGUUGGGCGCUAGAUGUGGGGACCUUUCCACGGUUUCCGUGUCGUAGCUAACGCAUUAAGCGCCCCGCCUGGGGAGUACGGCCGCAAGGCUAAAACUCAAAGGAAUUGACGGGGGCCCGCACAAGCGGCGGAGCAUGCGGAUUAAUUCGAUGCAACGCGAAGAACCUUACCAAGGCUUGACAUAACCGAGAACGCCCUAGAAAUAGGGAACUCUUUGGA
rnacentral:rRNA from 2 species